rnacentral:tRNA from 2 species
GGGCCUGUAGCUCAGUUGGUUAGAGCGCACGCCUGAUAAGCGUGAGGUCGGAAGUUCAACUCUUCCCAGGCCCA